AUUGAACGCUGGCGGCAGGCCUAACACAUGCAAGUCGAGCGGAUGAAGGGAGCUUGCUCCUGGAUUCAGCGGCGGACGGGUGAGUAAUGCCUAGGAAUCUGCCUGGUAGUGGGGGAUAACGUCCGGAAACGGGCGCUAAUACCGCAUACGUCCUGAGGGAGAAAGUGGGGGAUCUUCGGACCUCACGCUAUCAGGUGAGCCUAGGUCGGAUUAGCUAGUUGGUGGGGUAAAGGCCUACCAAGGCGACGAUCCGUAACUGGUCUGAGAGGAUGAUCAGUCAAACUGGAACUGAGACACGGUCCAGACUCCUACGGGAGGCAGCAGUGGGGAAUAUUGGACAAUGGGCGAAAGCCUGAUCCAGCCAUGCCGCGUGUGUGAAGAAGGUCUUCGGAUUGUAAAGCACUUUAAGUUGGGAGGAAGGGCAGUAAGUUAAUACCUUGCUGUUUUGACGGUACCAACAGAAUAAGCACCGGCUAACUUCGUG
rnacentral:rRNA from 1 species